GGGUCCAUAGCUCAGUCGGUAGAGCAACUGACUUUUAAUCAGUAGGUCGCUGGUUCGAACCCAGCUGGACUCACCA
rnacentral:tRNA from 37 species